rnacentral:tRNA from 1 species
GGGGAAUUAGCUCAGUUGGGAGAGCGCAUGACUGGCAGUCAUGAGGUCAGGGGUUCGAACCCCCUAUUCUCCA